AGAGUUUGAUCAUGGCUCAGGACGAACGCUGGCGGCGUGCUUAACACAUGCAAGUCAAGGGGACCCGCAAGGGUAACCGGCGAACGGGUGCGUAACACGUGAGCAACCUGCCUCAGUGUGGGGGAUAGCCGGCCCAACGGCCGGGUAAUACCGCAUACGCUCACUGGGUGGCAUCACCUGGUGAAGAAACUUUCGAGGCACUGAGAGGGGCUCGCGGCCUAUCAGCUAGUUGGUGGGGUAAUGGCCUACCAAGGCAUCGACGGGUAGCUGGUCUGAGAGGAUGGCCAGCCACAUUGGGACUGAGAUACGGCCCAGACUCCUACGGGAGGCAGCAGUGGGGAAUAUUGCGCAAUGGGCGAAAGCCUGACGCAGCGACGCCGCGUGGGGGAUGAAGCAUUUCGGUGUGUAAACCCCUGUUGCUCGGGACGAACAACUGGUUUUGACCAGUCUGACGGUACCGGGUAGAGAC
rnacentral:rRNA from 1 species